rnacentral:rRNA from 1 species
ACGGGGGCCCGCACAAGCGUGGAGCAUGUGGUUUAAUUCGAUGAUACGCGAAGAACCUUACCAGGUCUUGACAUCCCGAUGCUAUUUCUAGAGAUAGAAAGUUACUUCGGUACAUCGGUGACAGGUGGUGCAUGGUUGUCGUCAGCUCGUGUCGUGAGAUGUUGGGUUAAGUCCCGCAACGAGCGCAACCCCUAUUGUUAGUUGCCAUCAUUCAGUUGGGCACUCUAGCGAGACUGCCGGUAAUAAACCGGAGGAAGGUGGGAUGACGUCAAAUCAUCAUGCCCCUUAUGACCUGGGCUACACACGUGCUACAAUGGUUGGUACAACGAGUUGCGAGUCGGUGACGGCGAGCUAAUCUCUUAAAGCCAAUCUCAGUUCGGAUUGUAGGCUGCAACUCGCCUACAUGAAGUCGGAAUCGCUAGUAAUCGCGGAUCAGCACGCCGCGGUGAAUACGUUCCCGGGCCUU